CUCCAAUAGCGUAUAUUAAAGCUGUUGCGGUUAAAAAAGCUCGUAGUUGGAUUUCUGUCAAGUACAACUGGUCCGCCUCUGGGUGAGCACAUAGUUUGGUCUUGGCAUCUUGCUGGAAACUGUUGCUGCACUUGGCUGUGUGGCGCAGUGUCCAGCACUUUCACUUUGAGGAAAUUAGAGUGUUUCAAGCAGGCGUGCGC
rnacentral:rRNA from 1 species